rnacentral:rRNA from 1 species
UACGGGGGGAGCAAGCGUUGUUCGGAUUUACUGGGCGUAAAGGGCGCGUAGGCGGCCACCGCAAGUCGACUGUGAAAUCUCCGGGCUUAACCCGGAAAGGUCAGCCGAUACUGCGGGGCUAGAGUGCAGAAGGGGCAACUGGAAUUCUCGGUGUAGCAGUGAAAUGCGUAGAUAUCGAGAGGAACACCUGCGGCGAAGGCGGGUUGCUGGGCUGACACUGACGCUGAGGCGCGAAAGCGUGGGGAGCGAACAGG